rnacentral:lncRNA from 1 species
CAAGCGCUGAAGUGGCUGAUCGAGUCACAGCCACAGUCCAGAGCAAAGAGACAAACUUCCCCCUUCUUGCCUGCCUGCCUGCCUGGUGGUUUGCUUAUUAAGCUCGAGGGUAAGCACCACUCGCUACCCAUCAACCCAUCUUGGCGGCUCUUGCUUGGCUUUUUGUGGUUGAUUUUUGUUUUUUGUUUUUUGACAAGACUGGGAUUAAAACUAGGAUGUCGUGAUGCCAAGCAAGCACCUCACCAUUGAGCUACAUCUGCAGCCUGGGAUUUCUUAUCUGUCUAAAUGUAGGAAUACCCAACACAAGAAGGCAACAUACAUAUUGACAUAGAAGCACACCAUGAGCAGUAGAUUGCAUCCCUAACACCAUGAUUAAUCAAGGGCUGUCUGCAGGCAACGUGAUAGCAUACACCAAAGGCUUUGCAGAGUACACAUUCAACACCAGGACCAGUAAGGUCGGUCUAUUUGUUUCCCAGAAUGCUGUGUUUUACAAACUGUUACAUUGUUAACAUAGGGACUUCACAGAGAUUCCAAUUUCAUGGGUUUUUUCCAUAUGCUUAAUUACUAUUUCAUAUUUUUCUCAGUGAAAUAUUUCUUUAUAUCUUUUGCCCACAUGCUACUUAAACUGGGAGCUGCUGCUGCUGCUGCUGCUGCUGCUGCUGCUUCUUCUUCUUCUUCUUCUUCUUCUUCUUCUUCUUCUUCUUCUUCUUCUUCUUCUUCUUCUUCUUCUUCUUCUUCUUCUUCUUCUUCUCCUCCUCCUCCUCCUCCUCCUCCUCCUCCUCCUUCUCUCUCUUUCUCUCUCCCUCUCUCUCUCUGUGUCUCUGUCUGUGUCUCUCUUUCUCCCUAUGUUCUCAAAAUUGGCUCCAAACUCACAAUCUUCCCACCUCAGCCUCCACAGAGCUGAGAUUACAGGUGUGCAUCUCUGAACUGGUUUUGCUGUUACAUUUCAAACAUUCUUUAUCCAGGUCUGCUGUUGACUAAGUGAUUUGCAGCUACUUUCUCCACAUCUUCAUGUUUUUGUUUUGUUGUUGUUUUCUGUUUUCCAUUCCACGACAGGCUUUCUAUAGAAGAAGUAAAGGCUUACAUUUUUGUUAGGUUCAAUUCCCUCCCUGUUCCCUGCUUUUCUUUCUGAGACAGCAUCUGGUCUCACUAAGUAGAACAGGCUGGCUUUGGAACGUAAUUGUUCUGCCUCCACUCUCUGAAAGCUGGGCUUACAUGAGUGUGCUGAUCUGCCUGGCUCCAGGCUCUUGGUUUGCCUUUGCCGAUGACUGUGAGGUUUCCUUUUGGUUUCCCAUCUGACAACUCUUCACCUAAACCAAGAUCUUGAAGUUUCUUUGCUAUGCAUCUGCCUGAAGGUUGUACAAGCUCUUGUUUUGCAUACACAUUUAUUACGUAUUUCAAGUUAAUCCUUAAGCAUGAGAGUUAGGCAACAGUCUGAAUUUCUACCCAUGGGUGUUGAGUCUCUCCAGUACCCUUGCGGAGAACGAUGUCUUUGAUUCAGGAGACUUGCUCAGUGCCUCAAUCAAAGCUCCUGGGGCUUUUCUUUUCAAGGUUCUAUUUCUGGCUUUUUUUGGUUUGUUCGAUUGAUCUACAUGUUCUUUGACCAGCCAGUGCCACAGUCUUUUUUUUGCCUUAUG